AGAGAGAAAGGGUGGAGGGGGUCAAAUAAAUAAGACAAAAAGAAAAUACAUUUCUGUCAUUAGUAGACAGGAGUCUGGCAUGUGCUUGAUAGAACAAACAACAAGAACAUCAAUCAAACAGAUGUGUGAUUAGUGAGAAGCCUACUGAUCCCUACCCGGUGGUUUUGGUUGUUGGUGAGCUUGAGAGUGUCGAAGGAUACCGUCUGCUUCAUCCACUGGGCUCCACAGGCAGGGAUAAAGUCCAUGAGCAGGACAUAUUCAGCAGCAGGAUCCAUCCCGGAGAUUUGCACCUGGAAUGUUGGAAACAUCCUCCUGCAGUUUGUGAACAUGUAGAUGAGCAUAAUGUAGCAAGGGACCCCAGACAAAGAGUAAAAAUGAAGUGCGAGAUAAGGCAACAAGCAAUAUAAAUAUGAAUGUUAUUGUUACCUUCCGGCUUUGGUAACAAUCAUCUCUGUGCCCAGCUGGUCAAACUGCUGCCAAAGUACAUGCAUUUCCAGCUGAACCCUAACCCCGCUGACUUGGGGGGCCUUGGCGUUCGGCAGUGACCCCCUGUCUGCACAGCAGGGCAGAGAUAGUUCACAGCUCUGAGACAGCUGAGGACCUAAGGAGAGGAGAGGAGAGGAGAGGAGAGGAGAGAUGUGUGUUUAACUUUUGUCCGCCUUUGAAUCACAGAUUCUGUCCA